rnacentral:rRNA from 1 species
UACAGAGGUCCCAAGCGUUGUUCGGAUUCACUGGGCGUAAAGGGUGCGUAGGUGGUCGGGUAAGUCUGAUGUGAAAUCUCACAGCUUAACUGUGAAACUGCAUUGGAUACUAUCCGGCUUGAGGAAUGGAGGGGAGACUGGAAUACUUGGUGUAGCAGUGAAAUGCGUAGAUAUCAAGUGGAACACCAGUGGCGAAGGCGAGUCUCUGGACAUUUCCUGACGCUGAGGCACGAAAGCCAGGGGAGCAAACGGG